rnacentral:lncRNA from 1 species
CCAUGUCUGGUUCCUCCAGUGUAACCACUUUCUCCUAUGAAAAAAGUGGCUCAACAGCUCUGGCUGGAGCCAAGGCUCAACAGUGUAAACAUUUCCCAGGCAGCUGCAGGCUGGGAACAAUUCUGUCUGCAGAAUGUUCAACAAGACAGACCUCUGCUGACUGGAGUAUCUUCAAGUAUGAAUCCCUUCAGACCUCAGAAGGUCUGUUCCUUUUCAUAGU